UACGGAGGGUGCGAGCGUUAAUCGGAAUCAUUGGGUGUAAAGGGUGCGUAGGCUGGCGCCUAAGUCGGGGGUGAAAUCUUGCCGCUUAACGGUAAAAUGGCCCCCGAUACUGGGCGUCUUGAAUCUGACAGAGGUCGGUGGAAUUCGUGGUGUAGCGGUGAAAUGCAUAGAUAUCACGAAGAACUUCAGUGGCGAAGGCGGCCGGCUGGGUCAGUAUUGACGCUGAGGCACGAGAGCGUGGGGAGCGAACAGG
rnacentral:misc_RNA from 1 species